rnacentral:rRNA from 1 species
AGUGAACGCUGGCGGUAGGCCUAACACAUGCAAGUCGAACGGCAGCACAGUAAGAGCUUGCUCUUACGGGUGGCGAGUGGCGGACGGGUGAGGAAUACAUCGGAAUCUACUUUUUCGUGGGGGAUAACGUAGGGAAACUUACGCUAAUACCGCAUACGACCUACGGGUGAAAGCAGGGGAUCUUCGGACCUUGCGCGAUUGAAUGAGCCGAUGUCGGAUUAGCUAGUUGGCGGGGUAAAGGCCCACCAAGGCGAAGAUCCGUAGCUGGUCUGAGAGGAUGAUCAGCAACACUGGAAAUGAGACACGGUCCAGACUACUACGGGAGGCAGCAGUGGGGAAUAUUGGACAAUGGGCGCAAGCCUGAUCCAGCCAUACCGCGUGGGUGAAGAAGGCCUUCGGGUUGUAAAGCCCUUUUGUUGGGAAAGAAAAGCAGCAGGUUAAUACCCCGCUGUUCUGACGGUACCCAAAGAAUAAGCACCGGAUAACUUCGUG